AAUUCAUCAGAGGCCUCCCAGACCACCUGCUCUCCGCAUCCUGCAAACAGCUGGCUCCGGGAUGAUUAAUCAACAAUUCAAGCAAACCUGUGGGAACCCAAGGGCCUUCUAGGCAACAUUUAAGCACAAGGAUAUAACGCAAAAUCAGCAAAGGGAAAAAGAACAUAAAGUCUAAG